GGAUUGUAGUCUGCAACUCGACUACAUGAAGCUGGAAUCGCUAGUAAUCGCAGAUCAGAAUGCUGCGGUGAAUACGUUCCCGGGUCUUGUACACACCGCCCGUCACACCAUGGGAGUUGGGAAUGCCCGAAGCCGGUGACCUAACCGAAAGGGAGGAGCCGUCGAAGGCAGGCUUGAUAACUGGGGUGAAGUCGUAACAAGGUACC
rnacentral:rRNA from 1 species